CACCUUACCACUGUCCUGAACAGAGCUGCAGUUCCCAGCCGAGAGCCUUUCUAUUAGACCUCAGAGCAGAAAUAUUCUGAUGGCCUUCAGGAGCAAGGAGAAUUACUGGGAGCUGGUUGAUUAUUGCUUCUGGAGUUUCUGAGCAAUGGAGUUUAUCUCAGACUUUUCUCUCUCAUCUAAUGAAGCUAGAAUGAAAAUGGUGGGGGAAGGACAGAAACCAGGCUCAAGCAAGAUAUACAGACACCUCUUUCCUGCUGUGAAAGAAUAAGUGAUGUGGUGUUAAAAUACUGCUCUCCUGUGACACUCUGCCAUAUAGU